rnacentral:misc_RNA from 1 species
UUUCCGUAGGUGAACCUGCGGAAGGAUCAUUACAGUGUUCCCUGCCCUUCGGGGUAGGAUCGCCACCCUUGAUUAUUUAUGAGUGUUGCUUUGGCGGGCCUCGCGGCCUGGCCGCGCCCCGGCUUCGGCGGGGGAGCGCCCGCCAGAGGAUUCUACAAACCUGAUUAUUAGUGUCGUCUGAGUACUAUAUAAUAGUUAAAACUUUCAACAACGGAUCUCUUGGUUCUGACAUCGAUGAAGAACGCAGC